UACGAGGGGUCCAAGCGUUGUUCGGAAUCGCUGGGCGUAAAGCGGGUGUAGGUGGCUAGGCAAGUUGGAUGUGAAAGCCCCCGGGCUCAACCCCGGGAAGUGCAUCCAAAACUACUUAGCUUGAGUAAGGAAGAGGAUAGGAGAAUUCUUGGUGUAGUGGUGAAAUACGUAGAUAUCAAGAGGAACACCGGUGGCGAAGGCGCCUAUCUGGUCCAUUACUGACACUCAGACCCGAAAGCGUGGUAGCAAACAGG
rnacentral:rRNA from 1 species